rnacentral:misc_RNA from 1 species
GUUUUGUUCAAAUUCUCUCACAUUCUAUAAAGGCUUAAUAACUAAAAAAAGCCAUACAUUUUUGUGUUUUCUCAAUUUUAUCCACAACUUUAUCCCAAUUGCCAAAGCUUACUGCAAUUGUAUCCAAUUUUUUCUAACCUAGCCUUCCACUCCAUUUUCCAACCGAUCCACGACCACUCAUGAAAAUGAAACCCCAUCACUAUUACAAGUACCUCCCAAGUUUCUUUUUGAAGCCCAUAGUGCAUCAACAUUCAUAGUCUUUUGGCCAGAUCAUAUGGUUUUGUUCA